rnacentral:rRNA from 1 species
GAUGAACGCUGGCGGCGUGCCUAAUACAUGCAAGUCGAGCGAACAGACGAGGAGCUUGCUCCUCUGACGUUAGCGGCGGACGGGUGAGUAACACGUGGAUAACCUACCUAUAAGACUGGGAUAACUUCGGGAAACCGGAGCUAAUACCGGAUAAUAUAUUGAACCGCAUGGUUCAAUAGUGAAAGACGGUUUUGCUGUCACUUAUAGAUGGAUCCGCGCCGCAUUAGCUAGUUGGUAAGGUAACGGCUUACCAAGGCAACGAUGCGUAGCCGACCUGAGAGGGUGAUCGGCCACACUGGAACUGAGACACGGUCCAGACUCCUACGGGAGGCAGCAGUAGGGAAUCUUCCGCAAAGGGCGAAAGCUUGACGGAGCAACGCCGCGUGAGCGAUGAAGGUCUUCGGAUCGUAAAACUCUGUUAUUAGGGAAGAACAAAUGUGUAAGUAACUAUGCACGUCUUGACGGUACCUAAUCAGAAAGCCACGGCUAACUACGUG